AUGUUUCCAUUUCCCAUUUCUUUCGUACAUUCCCUUUCCUUAACACGGUUCCUCGUUUUCAACAUAGUUCAUUGUCUUGUCACUCCCGCUUCCCAACAGUCACCGUCACUGUACGAAGUUACCGUCUCCGUCACCGUGCGAAGUCGCUGUUGCCGUUGCCGUCACCGUGUUAAGUCGCCUCAUCACGGUCGCGUGUUGUUUCUGUGCUCUUCGUCUGCUAGCAUCACUGUCGCAUUUCGUCCACAUCUCUUAUAUGUUUUCUCCAUUUGAAGGAUCGGCUAAACUCCAGGGCUCAGAAUCUGGAUGGCUAUUUUGCUACUCAGCGGAUUGAUUUUGGAAUGUGCCACAAAAUGAAUUCGGUAUCUACUAUUCGUAAUGAUUAUUACUGCAACAAGCAUGGCAUCCAAGACCCGGGACAGUUGAACUCAAUUGCAUCCAUCCAUGAUCCCUGUUACAUGGCCCCACAAAGGAUGUAUGAGAUGGGACCCAAUACAUGCAGCAAUCCUAUAAAGUCAGCAAGUCAUUUCCAUUUAAGUGGAUCAAUAAAAAAUGGAGAGAAGGAUUUUCUGUCACUGCUAUGGCGACUGCUGGGAGUAGGUGUCCUGUGGUGCUGGAUAUUCAGACCAGGUUGUGGAACUUGAUUUCCUGUAUCCUAGUGAAGGCAUUCAUCGUAGGUGGGACAAUGGUUACCGCAUCACUUCAACUGCUGCCACUUGGGACCAAGCUGCUUUUGUUCUUAGUGUCCUAAGAAGAAAACUGGCUGAUGAAACUCAAGAGACACUCCGCACAUCUGCCUUUCCUAGUAGUCACGUCAAGGAAAAAUGGUCAAAAAAUAUCUAUAUUGCAUCAAUAUGCUAUGGGAGAACAAUUUCAUGAAUUGAGAAGUUUUAAGAUUUCAGUUGACUUUUGACUUUUUGCAUCAAAGUUUCUGUUCUUAGAUGUGCCAUUUUGGAAUCUGGAAUCAUAUAUGAUGAGUUCGCUGAACAAAGCCAUUCAGUAUUGAUAGAAAUGUCCGGCGACACACCAUUUGGUGACCUUCCACCUUCACAAGGUGGGGACAAGAUUCAUACAUGUACCAAAAAAAAUGGUAGGCGUGGAACUAGGUUGAAAGAGUUAACAGUUAGUUAUAGUGCAGAUCAGAGAUUGCCUAUCCAAUUUGAUAUGCAAACUGGUAAAGCUUUGGGAGAUAAUAGCACAAAAUUCACCAGCUAUGUGGCCUUGCUUGGUAGGAGCAAAUCAUCCAUUCUUAUAGAUGAUUGGGACCAUGUUCUAGACACAGUAAAGAAUCAGAUUUGGCUAAGUGUUCAAGUCACAUAUGAUGUCCCAAACAGUAAUAUGUUGAGGACGAAAUGGAUUUCAUUUGCUGGGGAACGAUGGAAGGGUUUUAAGACGAACCUUACAAGUAGUUAUAUCUAUGGUCCCUUAAGUGAUAGAAACCCUUGUGAGAAGUAUCCGUUCCUUGAUGAAGACAUAUGGCAGGCUUUUAAGGAAAGGCGAUUAAAUCCUGUUUUUCAGGCUAAGAGGAAAGCUGCACAAGAGAUAGCAAAAAAGAAUGUCCACCCCCAUAGAUUGUCUCGUGGGGGUUAUGAUAAAUUGGAGCAGAAGAUGAUGAAAGAGGCAUGUAUUUGUUUAAGCCUAAUUAUAUUGUCUUAUUUAUUUUACAAAUAUUAUUUGGUUACCUUAGGUAAAAUGUAUGCAUUAGGGUCAACCAUACACCAUGCAACCAUUGUAGAUGAUAAGAUGAGAGUAGUGGUUGUAGAUGUUUGAGAUGCUACUGCUCGAGUCCCAGUGCCCACUCAAGAGGUUAAGAUAGUGGGGCAGGCCCCUGGAAAUUUUAUCCUUUGGCCAGUUAUAUUAGCAAAAGUAAUUGCAAAGGAGAUUAGAGUACAAGAAAAGGAAGAUGUGAAUGAAUCAUUACCACAACAGACAAUUCUAGAACGACUUGGUGCAAUGGCAGCGACUAUUGCCUUGCAACCUAUACAAUUAUAAAUGCCUCCCCAAGCCACAAAUAGGACCUUCAACACCUCUUUUUUUAUAUGUCAAAAGGAUAUUUUUGAAGUUCUCUCUGGCACUGAUAUGUUAUGUAUAUCAGUAAUACAACUUUGGUUGUUGUAUUUACAUCAUAGAUGCACUGAGAAGAAGAAUGAUCACAUAUAUGGAUUUAUUGAUCCUAUUGCAAUUCAAGGCGUUGGGAAUAAAAAUGAAGAGGUUCAAAAGUACCUAUUAGAGGCAUUUGAUGUUGGGAAAAAAGAAGUGUACUUAGCGCCGUAUUUGCAACAGGGUCACUGGCAGUUGCUGGUAAUUCUUCCUCAGAAUUUUGUUGUGGUUCUUUUGUGUUCAUUACACAAGAAACCUAACGCUUUGAAAAUUAAAAGUAGUUUACAAGCAGUGGUUGAGGCUCAUUCUAGGUUGCAGGGACAACAGAUCACUUCUAAAAAGAAGUUGUAGUUCAUUGUGCCAACUUGCUCACGUCAAUCGGGAAGCUAUGAGUGUGGAUAUUAUACCAUGAGGCACAUGUAUAGAAUCAUAUCCGUAAACAUUGUUGACUCAUGGGAUAUGAUUUUCAAUGACACAUCUCCAAUGGAUCAAGGAGUCUUAAAGGAAGUUCGUGAGCAGUGGGCUUCGUUUCUUUUAAGUGUUUAUAUAAAAUGAUGUUAGGUGUUUUAUGACUUAUAUAGCAAUUCGUUUUGGAGUAGUAUUAUAUUUCAUAUAAACAUUAGAUUCUAUUUCACAUAAAUAUUAGAUUGAAGGAGAUUUGUUUUCUGAAUAUUUUGGGUAAUUAUAUACAGUAUAUGAGAUGAUGUUAGGUGUUUUAUGACUUA